UAUAAUCUGGUCAUAGCUGCUGUAAAUUGUAAUAUCUGAUUUAGGUGAAUUAAUUUCUCUAUAAAACUCCUUUUAUGAAAACAAAUAAUUUAAAUGAUUUCGCUUAUUAUAGAAACAAAUUCUAUGGAUUUAUGUACCGCAACUCAUCCGUUAGUAUAAAUUAUUUGUUUUUAAUCUAUAUAAAAAUAUUCGUGUAUAACAGAAUAUGUUAUUUCAAAUAAUUUGUAUUUGAAAAAAUAAUAUAUAACCCGAUUAUACAAGUGUAUUAUCAGUAAAAAUUCUGAUAUCACGGUAAUGUUACAUGGUGAAAAUGAGAAUUUGAACGACUCGUUCAGGAAAACCAUAGGAGGGAGUAAUUAAUAAGAACCGUGACCGAUCGUAAGAAAUUAACGAAAGAACGAGUUAUAUGAACGGGUCAUUUGAACGAUCCGGAUCGUUCGAUUGACCCGAAAUUCCCAUCACUAGUUGGCUCUAUCUUAUUGAUUAGACAGAAUUUUUACACCGGCUGUCGACCUGACACAAUCUCAUUGGCUGAGGGUAUCAGCAAUAUUAUUAUAUCCUUAAAAAAUAUUACUUUAAAACUAUUAAUUUAAUCUUACAGUUUAUAAGUUAUUCAUACAGCUUUAAAUUAUCAGUAAUGAGUAAAAAUUCAAAUUUUAAAUAUUUUUCACUUUAUUGAUUUUUAAAAAUAAAGUUUAAAUGUGCUUAAACUUCAUAUGUCAUGGCAAAUUAAAAAAAUAUGUUAUUCAACUUUUUAGUUAUGAUUAGAAUAGUUUUAAUGUGAGGUAUUGAUCAGAAGAAUUGUAUAUAAUGAGCAGAUAUAAUGAUUUUUAUUUACAUAAACGUCUACAUGGAUGUCUCAAUAGUUAUUCAAAAUAAAGUUUUUCUCCCGAAACCAAAAUGAAUACAUUGGUAGCCCAAUAUCAUCAUACAAUUUAGGGUUAUCCCAGAGAUUUAUAAUUAAUACAUUUGAAGAAUCACAGGAGGACCAAAUUGAAUGGAAAGUUGUAAUAUCUCUAUCACCAAGGAUACUAGCUGCAUUAAGACAUAGGCCUGAAAUGUGUGAUGGUACAUCAAUCCUUUCGAAAAUCCAAACCUAAUCAAAAGAAUAUAUAAAACAAAGAAUAAUUGAAUAUUAUCAUAUUUAUACUAAUUUUACAACUCACUAAAUUCCAAUAUAUAAUAGGAUGCUCGUCAACAAAUUUAUAAUGUGUUAAUGAUACAUCACCUUCAGCAGCCAAAAUGGAUUCAAGUUCUUUGCGUAAUACAAGAGGAUUUAAAUAAGGAACUGUGAUCGUAUCUGUUCUGUAACAAUUUUUUGAUGUUCCUAAAAGAAUGUUUUUUUUUAAAUUCCUUUAUUAAUGAGUUUUUACAUUUUUACUAAAUACUGGGUAUGUAUGUUAUAUUGUAAAAAUAAUUAAAAUAUUUUUAAUUUUGAGUA